UAUGAAAAUCCCAAAAUAAUUCCUGGAAAUAUUAGUAAAAAACCAAGAACCCGUUAGACACAAGAACCCAAAUCAUGUAGAAGAAAGGAGAGAAACAGAGAAACAAGGUACUGAGCACUGAGUCAAUUACCUUGUUUGGCAGAGCAGUGAGGGAAAGAAACUAAGAGAGAAAGAAAGAGAAAUUACCCGUGAAACUUGGUGCAACUUGG
rnacentral:misc_RNA from 1 species